CAAAGGACAGAGGUUAUUCAGUUGAAAGAUGGCCACAAAUUCACAGAUGAAAGGCCACGUGAGGACACAACAAGAUAUCAGUCACCUGCAAACCCCAAAGAGAGCCCCUACCAGAUCUGGACCGUGCUUACAUCCUGAUCUCAGACCUCCAGCUUCCUGAACUGUGAGAAAAUUAACAUGUGUUGUUUAAGCCACCCAGGCUAUGGUAUUUUGUUACGGCAGCCCAAGCUGAUCAAUACAGGGUGUGAGGUGGCUUCCUCUCUAUUUAAACUAAAAGAGAAUAAAGACAAUAGUUUACUUUGUAGUAUGUGGAAAGUAAGUUACACAUAAUGCAGCAUGUAGAGAAAGAAUGUUGGUCUAGAAUGAUGGUAUUGAGCUUCUAAUCUUGCUUCAGUCAUCUGUCUGUGUGAUCUUGUCUUGGGCAAGCUGUAAAAGAUGGAAGCCUGUGGGGCAUCUUAGUUUCCCAAUUUCCAAAAUAAAGAGAUUUCAGCAAAAUGUUUUUUCAAGGUCUUACUCCUUCUCCUUGAAGGUUCAUUUGAUUUCCAUAAUCAUUUUUUCUCUCCCUUGAUUAAACAAUGAAAAAUGAAACACUUGAGGACUAUCUAGGGUUGUGGAGGUGUGUACCUUUUAAAUUAUGCUGAACCUCAUCUGUCUGGGAUAAUACAUGCAAUUUACCUGGGCAGUAGACCUGCUAAUUUCUCUCUGGUGUUUCCUCAAGCCAUCAGGUUUUCUGGUACUUGAUCUUUAUUUUUAAUAGCUUAUAGAUAGAGAUAAUACAUUUUUUGAAUUCAAUAGACAGUUCUAGUGAUAUUAUUAAUCCAAAUAAAAGUAUGCUAAACCUUACUUUACACUUUGAGAAAACCUUUUGCUUAU
rnacentral:lncRNA from 1 species